rnacentral:lncRNA from 1 species
CUAGCGCUCGGCUUCUUUCGCACACGCUCCUGCUGCCGGUACCCAGUCCUACGGCCCCUCCUCUCUCCACCUCGACUCGCCGGCGUUGCUCGGCUGCAGCUCGUCGGAGCUUCCUGUUCUCAGCGCGCCGACCUCCCUCUUCUCCUUCAUGUCCGGCCGCCGGUCUGGCCGAGGACCCUGGUCGUGGGGUCGCGUCCUCCUCCCUCGUCGCGGACCUGCCGUGUCCUGGGCGCCAUUCCAGCACUGCCAGGUUCCGCGCCAUCGUGCCUCUGGGUCCUCGCCGCGGUUCAGGCCGUCGAUGCCUGUUGCCCCGACGCUCCCUCACGCUCCUUUAUCAGCCUCGCCUAGACCUCCGCCUCCUCGUCGGACUGCACACACGCCGCCGCCAUUUCUUGCAGUUUCGUCGCGCCAUCCCCUCUGAUUUCCUUGUUCUCGUCGGCUUAAACUCCGUUGACGUACCCUGCAAGCAGGUUUGACGCCCUCUCAAUUAUUCUGCUCGUUUCACUAACCGAUGCCUGUGCCUUGAGGUUAACUAUGUGUAUGUGUGUAUGUAUCGAGAGAAAAUCCUAGAUGUUAAAUCAUGUAGAAUAGUGAAGUCCAGUUCGUCGCUCGCCAGGUGCUCGAUAUAUUGCCUGAGUCGGAUUUGUCACCAUUUUCGCGAGUCCUGACUCGAUUUAGGUAUUGUGUAAGUUUAGAUUCGCUUGCAGUGAAGUUUAGUUCAAUCAGUUAGUCUUCGAAUAUUUGCGCAAUUAGAAAUAUUUUUUUUCCAUUAGUGAAAUAAAUCACACAAUGGAAGUAAUAAAAUGAAUAAUUUAUUGUAUCUGAUUUUGGGAUUGAAUGGAGUCCAUGGACCACAAUUCACAAGUUGAUCCUUGGCGUGUGCUUUAUGUAGCUAGAACUAUAAUUCACUUGAUGCUUCAUCUUCUCAUACGUAAGGUCUAAAACUCAUAAUCGUCGUCGGUUCCGCUGUAGUCGAGUCGAAUUGAUUAUGAUACUAUUAAAUCUUGGAGUUUCUCGCAGCUAAGCUUAAUUCAGUUUGGGUAUGGAUAGUUAGAUAACUAGUUUAAGUGUACUUAAUCACCUUUCUUUAAUAAAGUAAAUACUAGAUAAUUAAGAAAGAUUGGAUAAUGUUGAGUGAAGUCCAUGGAACGUCGACCUUGGUUAAUCCAUGGCACGCCUGUGAUGUUUGCCUGAAUGCAAGCUAGGAUGAGUUGCUUCUAAAUGAGUAACUCCAUUUUUACUCUAAAUUAGUAUGUUUAUCUAAUCAUCUUGUUAUAUGGUGGACUAGUAAGUACCUUAGGCAAUAAUUUAUUAAUCUAUAAUGUACUAUUGGAGCUUAUAAAACUAGUUAAAUUACUCUUAACUUUAAUCUAAGUCUUAGGUGGCUAUCACUGGUGAAUCUAAGUUUUAGUAAUUUCUUGGGAUGUACUGCCUUCUUGGUGCUUGUGCGAGACCUUAUUGAAUUAGAAAGUUAGUUAAAUGUGUUCUAUCACCUUUGCCAAGUUUUGAGUGUUAAAAAGUGACAGGUCUAAGUGUAGUAACCUAUCGAUGUUAUGCUUUAGCUUAAGGCUAAUUGUGUUAAAUGUGUUGUUUCUUGAUGUUGCGUUGGUUCAUUUAAUUUAGAGAACCGUAAUUAUUGUGUUUAAUCGUAUGUCGAUAACUAGUGUCUUCGUAGAAAGGGGUACGACGCUUCGCCGCUAGGUGUUUAAUUCGCUAUCGCAUAACACUAUUUAGGUUUGUAAUAUUCCUGUUUAUAUGCACUCAUGUGCAUCAUGCAUCUCAAUUAGGUACGAUAAUUGAUCGCGUGAUGCGGAAGACGAACCAAGUCGACCCCAAGCGCGGGCUACUCCGCAUGGAGAUGCUGAUGAACGAAUCUGCCUGAUCAAGUGCUAGGACAAGGAUGAUCGUUAAGUGGACGUCACCUAACAACACUAACCUAGUGUUACCCAGGCAAGCCCCGGUGCAUUUGCCACCUCCUUGUUGUUUUAAAACUUUUAUCACUUAUAUGCUGCAUUAGGUGAUAGGAGUUGAGUGAAGAAACAAUUGAUGCAUUGCCAUUCCUUGGAAUUCGAUUACUAUUCCUUGAUACCUGUUUUAUAAAGAGAACUAAUGAGGCUUAGCCCUGCUUAGAAACUAAAAGUUGUUUCUUUUAAAAAGAAUGUUGUGCAACACUGGAUAUGGGUUUUAUGAAAAAGGAACUUGUAAUAAUGAAGGCAUCACUCGCGAUGAUGAAUUCAUUAUUCGAGUAUUGUACCUCUGUCAGGUACAUGGUUUGGGUGUUAAAUAAUAAGAUGAGACCAGACGUUGAGCAGGAAAGGUCGCCCGUCUGUGUCGAUUAAGGACCGUUCCGAUUGUUGGCCUGCUGAUCUAGGACCCUUUAACUGGCCACAUGCCUCAUCAUGGGUAAGCUUAGCCUCGGCUGGACCAAUACCAGAAAGGUCGGCCCGCAAUGGGAGUGGAGAGAUGGCGAGAGUAUCGUGUAUCCACCUGGCAAGAGGCUGGAUGGUGGGGUACUGAGCUCUCGGUUGGCGGGGACCCGUUCUGGUCUUGAGAAACCCGGUGGCGAGUUGACAUAUGCAAGGGUUAAGUGCUACAUAUGUCGUGUGGUUGGAGAUCCCCAGCUGAGUAUUAAUCGAUUCGGAUCGCCGAACUUCUCGGAUAUGAAGACUGGAUCUUCGACCCUCAUCGUAGAUAACAAGUGAAACUAAAGCUGCUAAAAUGAAGCUAGUUUAGGACAAGUGAAUGCUCUAGAUUAGGCAAAUCUAGAUUCAGGAAAAGUACUUAAUCUAUGAAGUAAAACUUUGGCAUAAGGAUCCACUACUAAUAAGCUUUUCUGCAAAAACGAGUCUUUGAAAUUUGAUGAGCUUUAUCUUGAUUCCCAACAAACCAGCAUACCCUUGAGAGUCUUUUCUUUAGUCGGGUAAGUCUUGCUGAGUAAUUGCAUACUCAGGGUUUUAUUCCCUGUUUUUUUUCAGGUUAUAAUUUUGUUCUGUUGUGGAUGGUGCUAAGUGCCGGUGGGCUCGGCCUUCUUAUAUAAGUAUAUCCCAUCUUUAGCUUCUUUAUUGAGGAUUGUCACUUAAGCUAGCAUGUAUUUUAAAAACUUAUAAAUACUUUAUACAUUUUAAAGUGUAAUUCUGUUGAAUCAUUUUCUUUUGUAAUCACUCCAAUAAUUGUAUAAUGUAAACUUAUUGUAACAUGUAAUUAUUUUGCAAUAAAGAAUUUAUUUCCGCUGCAAAUAUUGGUGUGUGAUUUGUGUUUACUUAAUCUUGCGAUCUUGGCGGUAAGUCGUUUAUCCGGGGUCCUCGGGGCACUCGGACAGAUCCUGUUAAGUUGUUUGGUGCACACGCAUAGCUGUCUGAGGUUUUUGAGACAAGGACAGAUGCGUGUGGGCCCGAUAACUUGGGAGGUUCUGCGACAUUCUUCGAGCGACAUUUUGGUGUACCUGGGAUUCUCACGAAUGUUAUUCACCAAAUGAGGAUCAAGAACGGUAAAGGACCUUAGCAUCAAUCGGACUACGUCGUGGUCUGUCCAUCGCGUGCUUCCGGAGCUCCUUAUUUUGUUGAUAAGGGUCUUGAGCCGGUUGUAUGUUUGUGUCGGCUCCUCGCCCCUUAUCAUCGCGAAUCGUCCAAGCUCGCCCUCCACCAACUCCAUCUUGGUGAGCAAGGUCACGUCGUUCCCCUCAUGUGAAAUCUUGAGGGUGUCUCAGAUCUGCUUGGCGUUAUCCAAGCCGCUCACUUUGUGGUAUUCAUCCCU